rnacentral:rRNA from 1 species
GGAGCUUUUGGGGGUGGCACAGACCAGGGGGUAGCGACUGUUUACCAAAAACACAGGAGCGUGCGAAGGCGCAAGCCGCUGUAUACGCUCUGACGCCUGCCCGGUGCCGGAAGGUUAAGAGGAUCCGUCAGGCUUCGGCCGAAGCGGUGAAUUCAAGCCCCGGUAAACGGCGGUGGUAACUAUAACCAUCCUAAGGUAGCGAAAUUCCUUGUCGGGUAAGUUCCGACCUGCACGAAUGGCGUAACGACUUCCCCACUGUCUCGACCAGGAGCUCGGCGAAAUUGCAGUACGAGUAAAGAUGCUCGUUAAGCGCAGAAGGACGAAAAGACCCCGGGACCUUUACUAUACCUUGGUAUUGGCAUUCGGUGUGGAUUGUGUAGCAUAGGCGGAAGGCUUCGAAGCCACGGCGCCAGCCGCGGUGGAGCCGCAAGGUGAAAUACCGCUCUGUUCGCAUUGGAUGUCUAACCUCGACCAGUCAUCCUGGUCAGGGACAGUGCCUGGCGGGUAGUUUAACUGGGGCGGUUGCCUCCCAAAGAGUAACGGAGGCGCUCAAAGGUUCCCUCAGCCCGGUUGGCAAUCGGGUGGCGAGUGUAAGUGCACAAGGGAGCUUGACUGCGAGACUGACGGGUCGAGCAGGGACGAAAGUCGGAACUAGUGAUCCGGUGCCGGUGUACGGACGCGGCAUCGCUCAACGGAUAAAAGGUACCCCGGGGAUAACAGGCUGAUCAUUCCCAAGAGUCCAUAUCGACGGGAUGGUUUGGCACCUCGAUGUCGGCUCGUCGCAUCCUGGGGCUGGAGCAGGUCCCAAGGGUUCGGCUGUUCGCCGAUUAAAGCGGCACGCGAGCUGGGUUCAGAACGUCGUGAGACAGUUUGGUCUCUAUCCUCUGCGCUCGUCGGAAUGUUGAGGAGGCCUGCCCAUAGUACGAGAGGACCUGGGUGGACGAACCUCUGGUAUGCCGGUUGUCACGCCAGUGGCACGGCCGGUUGGCUACGUUCGGAAGGGAUAACCGCUGAAAGCAUCUAAGCGGGAAGCCUGCUCCAAGAUAAGCAUUCCAUAGGACUACGGGUCCUUGAAGUCCCCAUGCAGAACACGUGGUUGAUAGGCCGGACGUGGAAGCCCCGCGAGGGGUGGAGCCGACCGGUACUAACGGACGAAAGGCAACACAAC